rnacentral:rRNA from 1 species
UACGUAGGAGGCAAGCGUUGUCCGGAAUUACUGGGUGUAAAGCGCGUGUAGGCGGCAGGCCAAGUCUGUGGUGAAAUCGCUCGGCUCAACUGGGCGGGGUCCAUGGAAACUGGUCAGCUGGAGGACGGUAGAGGUGAGUGGAAUUCCCGGUGUAGCGGUGAAAUGCGCAGAUAUCAGGAGGAACACCGAUGGCGAAGGCAGCUCGCUGGGACGGUACCUGACGCUGAGACGCGAAAGCGUGGGGAGCAAACAGG